UAAAAUGAGGCGGCGUGCUCCUUUCUUUUCAGGGCCCAACUUGCAAGUUGCAUAGCUCACUUCUCAGAAGCCACCUUCCGGAGCCUGGUGACUAGCCACAUCGCGCUGUGAGAAAAACCGACACAUGUGCCAGGCAUCGGUCAGAUGUAUGGUUCUUGACUCAGGACAGAGGAGUUUGAUCAUUGCCAGCGUAUCGGUGGUAAAUGAAGCUGUGGAAGAGAAUCACAUCACCAGAGGCGAGUAUGAAGUCGGACACUGAGGGUGGACGACUUAAAUUAACAUAUGAGCGCAGAUCCGAAAUUAACCAGCCCCAGGGCUCCAAUGAGAGCUAUCAAAUCAUAGCGCCCAGGGUAAGAGCUAGGUAGGCACGCUCCGGGACACCCGUGUUUCUUCACCCAUCAUUUGUAAGCUAAAACAUUUAACAAGCACUCACUGGAUGGAAACCCAAGAUGUCCUCUAGAUCCAGGCUGGAUAAUCCGAUUCAAGGCUGCUCAGGCCAUUCUUCCCUCACUGCAGUAAUAAACUAUUAAUAACUAGAAA